UUAGUACUCCCUCCAUCCGGAAAAGCUUGUCUCUCAAAUGGACGUAUCUAGCAUCAAAUUAGUGCUAGAUACAUCCAUUUAAGGAACAAGCUUGGGACAAGCUUUUUCGGAUGGAGGGAGUAAUUA
rnacentral:pre_miRNA from 1 species